rnacentral:rRNA from 1 species
UACGUAGGGUGCGAGCGUUGUCCGGAAUUAUUGGGCGUAAAGGGCUCGUAGGCGGUUUGUCGCGUCGGGAGUGAAAGCCCAGGGCUUAACCCUGGGUCUGCUUCUGAUACGGGCAGACUAGAGGUAUGUAGGGGAGAACGGAAUUCCUGGUGUAGCGGUGAAAUGCGCAGAUAUCAGGAGGAACACCGGUGGCGAAGGCGGUUCUCUGGGCAUUACCUGACGCUGAGGAGCGAAAGUGUGGGGAGCGAAC